rnacentral:lncRNA from 1 species
GAACUUAAACUAAAGUAGUGGAGAAAAAACCACUAUCUUCUGCAACUUAAAGUGUUACUAGGAUACUGUGUUAGGAUUCUAAGUCUCAGAGAUGCCAUCAAGAUAGCAAAGGCUAUAUGCCCCAUAAAUGGAAAACAGUAAAGUUGAACUUUGAUCUGCCUAGACAAAGAAUAGUUCACGGCACAAUGAGGCAAAGAUAUUUGUGUGGUAUCGAUGCCAUGUCAAGGAUGUGUCUUUCCCUUCCGUAAAAGUCAGAGUGAUAAUACAGAAUUUAAAAUGUAUCCUUCAUUAGGUGAAACGUAUCCAUAGACAGAAAAAUAACUUAUAAAUUGGCAAAUAUCCCUAGCAAUAUGUUUGGUGUAGCUGUUCACAUUUAAC